AUGACAAAGGGAACAUCAAUAUUUAGAAUGUGUCACAAGAAAACAGGCAUGUUGUGUUGCCAUUAUGGUUUUAAUGGUUUCCACCUGUUAAAAUGAGGUUAACCUGCUAACCACAAACAAAAGUAUUAAUGUAACUGCAAUAUGAAGGCUAAACAACAAAAUGCUAUCGGUACUGGCUGAAUAAAGCACCUAAAAUUUGUGUAUCGCAGAUUCAGGCACAGGUGCUCUGCAGGAACAACAUAAUGCCAAGAGGCAGCUGUUGCAGCACCCAGUUCA
rnacentral:lncRNA from 1 species